AACUUUUAACAAUGGAUCACUUGGUUCUAGCAUCGAUGAAGAACGCAGCGAAAUGCGAUCAGUAAUGUGAAUUGCAGAAUUCAGUGAAUCAUCGAAUCUUUGAACGCACAUUGCGCCCGCUGGUAUUCCGGCGGGCAUGCCUGUUCGAGCGUCAUUAUGAUCAAUCAAGCUCUGCUUGGCUUUGGGGUCUGCUGUACCAGCGGCUCUUAAAAUUAAUGGCGGUGCCGUCAACCCUAAGCGUAGUAAUUCUCCUCGCUAUGGGGCUUAGUCGUUUGCCUGCUAAAACUCACAACUUCUUUAGGUUGACCUCGGAUCAGGUAGGGAUACCCGCUGAACUUAAGCAUAUCAAUAAGCGGAGGCU
rnacentral:misc_RNA from 1 species